ensembl:lncRNA
CAAAGAGAAAGACUUACUGUAUGGUAACUGUUGAGUCACAGCCUGAACCCCUGAUUGAGCACCUGGGAAAGGACCCAGUCAGCCUUAGGAGCACAGGUGAAGGCAAUUCAUCUGUGUGACCAGAAGGGGUGGAGCCUGGCUGUACCUCUCUUAGACCUCAUUUAAGGGCUGACUGCCAGUGGAGAAGGUUUUCUUUCUGGAGAUCCCUCUGUGGUGAAGCUUUCCCUUACAAACCUGGAAUCUUCAGAUAUGGUUGUUGUCAGUAUCUCCUCCAGAAGAUGUAACGUACAGUCUCUAUGCCCUGUGGAAUUCUGGAGAGUGCAUGCUUUCAUUGGAGUCUUCACAAAGCACUCACAACAGGGUGCUCUGGCCUUAGUCGUGGGAAUACAGGAACUGUGGGGAUACAAGGAGCAGAAAGCAGCUGACUACUCUUUUCACCAGGCAGUUUGGAGAAAAAAAUAUGCAACCUGACCCAAGUGCAGAGGAAGGAAAAGUAAACAAAGCAUAAGGCUAGCCAAACUGAAGAUUUUAUGGGAAUAUAUGAUUGUAUGGGAACUGUUGCCUGAACCUCUGAUUGAUCACCUGAGGCAAGCACUUAGUCAGCCAUGGGAGCACAGGUGAAGGCAAUUCACCUGUGUGACCGGAAGGAGUGGAGCCUGGCCGCACCUCUCCUAGACACCAUUUAAGGGCUGACUGCCACUAGGGAAGGGUCUCUUUCUGGAGAUUACUCCCUUUGAAGUUUUUCUGUGAGCCUAGGAUAUGGGAUUUUUGCCAUCUCCGGAGGCAUGCUUUCACAUGUUUACCACACAGUGAGUGGAGGAAGUGCCCAAGAAACCCAGUAACACAUGUGGACAGCUCUGUGAGUUCAUCAGGCAGUCACUUCACAAGAACACGUAAGCUGUCCCGAUUGCCUUCUAACAUCCACACAUCACCGUGUGAUGUCUGUGUGCAACGCAGCUUUAAAUUGGCGUGGGACUUACAGGUGUAAGCCUGUGGGAGUUUUACCUUUGAGGAUAUUAUUAUGGCUGUGUUGCAGCACUCUGAUUGCACUUAUCCAUCUGUGCGCUGUUAUGCUGACAGUGCUAACAAAGCACGCCCAGCUAGCAGGCUGGAACACCCCUUGUAAACACGGCUUUGGCUUUGCUGGGCGCUGAGCUGGGACGGGCAGGCCGGCGUCCUGAAUCACACCUACACAAGCUUCCUCCAGCAGUGGGAAUUAGUCUAGUUUGUUUUACUUAAAAAGGAAGUCCAGGAAGCAAACAGUACCUUCAGAAACAUUAUGACCGAGGCGAGAAUAAGAACUGUUAGGGAACAACUGAACAGAUUACAGAAAAAUGCACUCGAAUACUAAAUGCAAAGCGGAAUAUGGGCAGCACAACCCGAACCCCUGUCCGCCAGCGGGGAGCAACGCCUGGUAGCUGCUGCUGUGCCCUAACGCGGCCUGGUAACGCGAGGAGGCGGCUCCUCAGCACCGUGUCCGCGUCUUUUCGGGUCCCCGCCGAGACGGAGGCGCCGGACUCGUCCCGCUCACAGCGCUCCACAGCCCCGUCCGCUCCGCGCUCCGCGGCGCUGCGGGGGAGAUCGCGCAUCGCCACAUCCGGGUGCCGGCCCUCUCUGCGCGCAUGCGC